AGUGAACGCUGGCGGUAGGCCUAACACAUGCAAGUCGAACGGCAGCACAGUAAGAGCUUGCUCUUACGGGUGGCGAGUGGCGGACGGGUGAGGAAUACAUCGGAAUCUACUUUUUCGUGGGGGAUAACGUAGGGAAACUUACGCUAAUACCGCAUACGACCUACGGGUGAAAGCAGGGGAUCUUCGGACCUUGCGCGAUUGGAUGAGCCGAUGUCGGAUUAGCUAGUUGGCGGGGUAAAGGCCCACCAAGGCGACGAUCCGUAGCUGGUCUGAGAGGAUGAUCAGCCACACUGGAACUGAGACACGGUCCAGACUCCUACGGGAGGCAGCAGUGGGGUAUAUUGGACAAUGGGCGCAAGCCUGAUCCAGCCAUACCGCGUGGGUGAAGAAGGCCUUCGGGUUGUAAAGCCCUUUUGUUGGGAAAGAAAAGCAGCAGGUUAAUACCCCGCUGUUCUGACGGUACCCAAAGAAUAAGCACCGGCUAACUUCGUG
rnacentral:rRNA from 1 species